rnacentral:misc_RNA from 1 species
GUAAUUAAAGAUCUUCUGUCUUCCGCCUGGCUGUUCAUCGUCGCCAUCACCAGUGGCAUAAUAGCUCUUUCAUUCUCUUACCCAGAAGGAGCUCCAAAAGAAACAUGUGCAACAUUCAGGCCAAACCACGACAAUCAUACACCUAAAACGAGUCCACACAAUUAUGAACUCAGUGCCAAUCCUUCAUCCGUGCAACAGGGCAGCACGACAAAAGUUACUCUUCAAGGGAAAGGCGGAGAGACAUUCAAGGGCUUUUUCAUUCAAGGGCAAGAUGAAGUUACUAAGCGACCUGUUGGAAAAUUUAGAAGACAAGGAGAUGCAAACACUGUAGAUUGUAGCGGAACUGCUACUUCAAUAACUCACGUUAAUCCUAAAGACAAGAGCUCUGUUAGCGUUGUGUGGGAAGCUCCAGCUUCUUAUACGGGAAAAGUAAUCUUCAGAGCUGCUGUGGUGAAAACCUUUGAAAACUUCUGGGACAAUAUUUAUAGUCAACCCAUAGUGAUUAACUAAAAAUUGCAGAUGAGAAAAGAAUCUUCAGCCAGCUACUGAAGAAGAAACUCGACGCUUCGUCAUUAAAUGUCUCGCAAAAUUUUCAGUGCAAAACCUUUGUUGCAAAGAAUGCUUGAAAUACUAUUUUUCUUAUUUUUAUACCAUGAAUUUUGUAUUUCAAGUUUUUGAUUAUAUAUACUUGUUUUCUUGCGAUCAUUAAAGUUUUGAUAUGUAAAAA